ACUGAGUGUUCAAACAAACUAACAAGAGGAAUAUGAGAACAUGGAGGAAACACAGGCAAAGAUGAAGACCUGUUUGUGCAAAUAGCACGAGAGACUAAAGAAGAGAGGAAACAGCAGUGAUGCCCCGUCCUCUUUCUGGUUGCUGCUGCUAACGUAUUGCCCACUGAGAUUCUCACUGAGAUUCAAGGUUGCUGCUGAUCAAGAGCCCUGAGUUGCAGAGUGGUGAGCUGCAGUCAGUGUCAGGUAGCCUGUUCAAGCCUUCCAGUCUUCCGAGG